rnacentral:rRNA from 1 species
UACAGAGGUCCCGAGCGUUGUUCGGAUUUACUGGGCGUAAAGGGUGCGUAGGCGGUUGGGAAAGUCUGAUGUGAAAUCUCCAGGCUCAACUUGGAAACUGCAUUAGAAACUAUCCAGCUAGAGGGUUGGAGGGGGGACUGGAAUUCUCGGUGUAGCAGUGAAAUGCGUAGAUAUCGAGAGGAACACCAGUGGCGAAGGCGAGUCCCUGGACAACUCCUGACGCUGAGGCACGAAAGCUAGGGGAGCAAACAGG